rnacentral:tRNA from 1 species
GGGGCUGUAGCUCAGUGGCAGAGUGCUCACCUAGCAUGUGUGAGGCACUGGGUUUGAUCCUCAGCACUACA